rnacentral:rRNA from 1 species
GACGAACGCUGGCGGCGGGCUUAACACAUGCAAGUCGAACGGAAAGGCCCUGCGUUCUUGGUGUGCCCGAGUGGCGAACGGGUGAGUAACACGUGAGUAACCGGCCCUUGACUUUGGGAUAACUUCACGAAACUGGGGCUAAUACCGGAUAGGAUCUCCUGCUGCAGUGUGGGGGUUGGAAAUUUUCGGCUGUUGGGGAUGGACUCGCGGCUUAUCAGCUUGUUGGUUGGGUAGGGGCUUACCAAGGCUGUGACGGGUAGCCGGCCUGAGAGGGUGACCGGCCACAUUGGGACUGAGAUACGGCCCAGACUCGUACGGGAGGCAGCAGUGGGGAAUAUUGCACAAUGGGAGGACGCCUGAUGCAGCAACGCCGCGUGCGGGAUGACGGCCUUCGGGUUGUAAACCGCUUUCGCCUGUGACGAAGCGUGAGUGACGGUACUGGGUAAAGAAGCACCGGCUAACUACGUG